CCCGACCGUUGCUGCUACCUUGACGUGGUGGUCGGGCUUGCCUAUCGUGAUGAACCAUUCGAGAUAUACUGGCUAAAAAAAUCGUUCCUCAAGGUCCUACCAUGCCAGACAGGUCGGUUGAAGAGCGGUAAGACUAAAAGUAGC
rnacentral:ribozyme from 1 species